rnacentral:rRNA from 1 species
GACGAACGCUGGCGGCGUGCUUAACACAUGCAAGUCGAGCGGCGCGGCGAACGGGUGAGCAACGCGUGAGUAACUUCCCCCCUCUCUGGGAUAACAGUUGGAAACGGCUGCUAAUACCGGAUAGUGGGGGAUGACUCGCGCCCUAUCAGCUUGUUGGUGGGGUAGUGGCCUACCAAGGCGACGACGGGUAGCCGGCCUGGGCGGGCGAACGGCCACAUGGGGCUGAGAUACGGCCCGAACUGCUACGGGGGGCAGCAGUGGGGAAUAUUGCGCAAUGGGGGAGAGCCUGAGGCAGCAACGCCGGGGGCGUGAUGACGGCCUUCGGGGUGUAAACCGCUUUCAGCCAUGACGCGGUAGUGGCAGAAGAAGCACCGGCUAACUACGUGCCAGCAGCCGCGGUAAUAC